CAACAGUCUGGCCGCUGUGCUCUGGGUGGUGCAUUCUUUCCCAUCUGCCGGGAAAUCCUCCCAUUUUCCUGAGAAGCCCAGAGUGGAUGGGCUCGAUUUCUAGCAGCACAUUGCACUCCGACUUCUUUGCAGUGAGGUGUGGCCAUUUGAAUAAGCUCUUGCCAAUGUGUUAUUAGCAGAACUGGAACCUCUGAGAAAUCUCUCAAAAUGAGAAGGGAUCACCUCUUCUCUAACACCUAGGAUGGUAAAUCCCCUUCUCUGCGCAGCAGAAGUCAGAAUAGUGGUUAUCUUGGGUGGUUUGACAACGGAAAGGGGCACCAAAAGCAGAUUUAUCUCUGGACCCGGGUGGUAGCUACACAAAUGUAGUGCAGAUGUGGUCACUAUCCACUAUCCCUAAGAUUAGUGUGCUUUCUUUUCUGUAUAUUGUAUACUAGUAAUGACA